AGAUAAAGGCAAAUUCAUUGAAAGAUGAAGACGCAAAACUAUAGGGACUAAAGUCAUUUGACAAUGUCAGCCAGUUACCGA
rnacentral:ncRNA from 1 species